UGCGAGCGUUAAUCGGAAUUACUGGGCGUAAAGCGCGCGUAGGCGGCUUUGCAAGUCGGGUGUGAAAUCCCCAGGCUUAACCUGGGAACUGCAUUCGAGACUGCAUUGCUAGAGUAUGGGAGAGGGAAGUGGAAUUUCCGGUGUAGCGGUGAAAUGCGUAGAUAUCGGAAGGAACAUCAGUGGCGAAAGCGACUUCCUGGACCAAUACUGACGCUCAUGUGCGAAAGCGUGGGGAGCAAACAGG
rnacentral:rRNA from 1 species